rnacentral:rRNA from 1 species
CACGUUUGGUACGCGGAGGACAUUACCGAGUUUACAACUCCCAAACCCCUGUGAACAUACCAAUUGUUGCCUCGGCGGAUCAGCCCGCUCCCGGUAAAACGGGACGGCCCGCCAGAGGACCCCUAAACUCUGUUUCUAUAUGUAACUUCUGAGUAAAACCAUAAAUAAAUCAAAACUUUCAACAACGGAUCUCUUGGUUCUGGCAUCGAUGAAGAACGCAGCAAAAUGCGAUAAGUAAUGUGAAUUGCAGAAUUCAGUGAAUCAUCGAAUCUUUGAACGCACAUUGCGCCCGCCAGUAUUCUGGCGGGCAUGCCUGUUCGAGCGUCAUUUCAACCCUCAAGCCCCCGGGUUUGGUGUUGGGGAUCGGCGAGCCCUUGCGGCAAGCCGGCCCCGAAAUCUAGUGGCGGUCUCGCUGCAGCUUCCAUUGCGUAGUAGUAAAACCCUCGCAACUGGUACGCGGCGCGGCCAAGCCGUUAAACCCCCAACUUCUGAAUGUUGACCUCGGAUCAGGUAGGAAUACCCGCUGAACUUAAGCAUAUCAUAAAACCGGAGGA